UACAGAGGGUGCGAGCGUUGUCCGGAAUCACUGGGCGUAAAGGGCUCGUAGGCGGCCAACUAAGUCAGACGUGAAAUCCCUCGGCUUAACCGGGGAACUGCGUCUGAUACUGGAUGGCUUGAGUUUGGGAGAGGGAUGCGGAAUUCCAGGUGUAGCGGUGAAAUGCGUAGAUAUCUGGAGGAACACCGGUGGCGAAGGCGGCAUCCUGGACCAACACUGACGCUGAGUGAGCGAAAGCCAGGGGAGCAAAGCGGG
rnacentral:rRNA from 1 species